GUUGUAUGGUUAAGUGACUAAGCGUACACGGUGGAUGCCUUGGCAGUCAGAGGCGAUGAAAGACGUAGUAACUUGCGAUAAGCCCAGAUUAGGUAGUAACAACCAUUUGAGUCUGGGAUUUCUGAAUGGGGAAACCCACGUGCAUAAGCACGUAUCCUUACCUGAAUACAUAGGGUAAGGAGGCGAACCGGGGGAACUGAAACAUCUAAGUACCCCGAGGAAAAGAAAUCAACCGAGAUUCCGAAAGUAGCGGCGAGCGAAAUUGGACUAGCCCUUAAGCUUUACACGCGUUAGACGAACGGUCUGGAAAGUCCGACGAUACAGGGUGAUAGUCCCGUAGUUGACGACGUGUGUUCAGUGAAAUCGAGUAGGGCGGGACACGUGAUAUCCUGUCUGAAUAUGGGGGGACCAUCCUCCAAGGCUAAAUACUACUGACUGACCGAUAGUGAACCAGUACCGUGAGGGAAAGGCGAAAAGAACCCCUGUGAGGGGAGUGAAAUAGAACCUGAAACCGUGUACGUACAAGCAGUAGGAGCAGGCUUUGUCCUGUGACUGCGUACCUUUUGUAUAAUGGGUCAGCGACUUAUAUUCAGUGGCAAGGUUAACCAUCUAGGGGAGCCGUAGGGAAACCGAGUCUUAACUGGGCGUUCAGUCUCUGGAUAUAGACCCGAAACCAGGUGAUCUAGCCAUGGGCAGGUUGAAGGUUGAGUAACAUCAACUGGAGGACCGAACCGACUAAUGUUGAAAAAUUAGCGGAUGACUUGUGGCUAGGGGUGAAAGGCCAAUCAAACCUGGAGAUAGCUGGUUCUCCCCGAAAGCUAUUUAGGUAGCGCCUCGGACGAAUACUACUGGGGGUAGAGCACUGUUAAGGCUAGGGGGUCAUCCCGACUUACCAACCCUUUGCAAACUCCGAAUACCAGUAAGUACUAUCCGGGAGACACACGGCGGGUGCUAACGUCCGUCGUGGAGAGGGAAACAACCCAGACCGCCAGCUAAGGUCCCAAAUUACUACUAAGUGGGAAACGAUGUGGGAAGGCUCAGACAGCCAGGAUGUUGGCUUAGAAGCAGCCAUCAUUUAAAGAAAGCGUAAUAGCUCACUGGUCGAGUCGGCCUGCGCGGAAGAUGUAACGGGGCUAAGUAGUAAACCGAAGCUGCGGCAAUGUGCUUUUGCACAUUGGGUAGGGGAGCGUUCUGUAAGCGGUUGAAGGUGUGUGGUAACGCAUGCUGGACGUAUCAGAAGUGCGAAUGCUGACAUGAGUAACGAUAAAGGGGGUGAAAAACCUCCUCGCCGGAAGACCAAGGGUUCCUGUCCAACGUUAAUCGGGGCAGGGUAAGUCGACCCCUAAGGCGAGGCCGAAAGGCGUAGUCGAUGGGAAACGGGUUAAUAUUCCCGUACUUCUUACAAUUGCGAUGGGGGGACGGAGAAGGCUAGGUGGGCCUGGCGACGGUUGUCCAGGUUCAAGUGCGUAGGCUU
rnacentral:rRNA from 1 species